rnacentral:lncRNA from 1 species
GAAGGGGGCAGAGCCGUGGCUCACUGAAAAUGUGACUGAAGCAGAUACUGGAGCCCAGGCCAGCAGGGGCUUGAAACUAUAGAGCAAGGAAGGCAACUUCAGUUUUGAGAGUCUGUUACUCUCCAUCCCACCAUGCCCCAGAUUCAGAAGACAGCUUGCUCACCCUGUCAGCUGCUGGAAGCAUGUGGGAGAGGCCUUCCGGAGGCCAGGCCCACCUUUGUUGCCUAAGAGGACAAAUAAAUUGGAAAGAACUAACCGUAAGUGUACUUGGACCGCAAAGAACCUCAAGGUUGGCAUGGGCUGGAGAAGUCAGUGAAAGCUUUGUUCACUGAUGACAGAGACAUUUGAGCACCUCCUAAAUGCUAGGCACUGUGCUACAGGUUCCGAGUAUCAAAAUCAACAUGGUGCCUGCUCUUGGGAAGCUUCUAGUGAAGUAGCUUUGAAAGAAAAUAAUUUCUAACCAUCAACUGCGAUAAGAAUCAGGAAGGAAAGUAACAGGGUGCUACGAAAGACGGGAACGGAUUCUGAUUUGGGGAGACGUCAGGGAUGACCUCCCAGAGGAAGCAGCCUUGAAGCUGAAACCUGUAGGAAAAUCGGGGUUAGCUACAUGCGGGCUGUGGGGAGAGUCCCCCAGGCUGAAGGUACAGCAGUGCAAGGCGUUGAGGAGUGGAAAAGGCUGGCGUGUUCAGAAACUGAGCACCUGUGUCUGGGGCACGGUGAGGAAGGAGUGAUGAGGUCAGAGAGGCCUUGGAAGCCAUGGUCAAGAUUUGGGAUUUUAUCUUAAGAAACUGGAUGCCACCGAAGGGUAUUAAGCAAGGACAAAAAACCAAACACCGCAUGUUCUCACUCACAGGUGAGAACUGAACAAUGAGAACACUUGGACACAGGGUGGGGAACAUCACACACUGGGGCCUGUUGUGGGAUGGGGGGAGGGGGGAGGGAUAGCAUUAGGAGAUAUACCUAAUGCUAAAUGAUGAGUUAAUGAGUGCAGCACACCAACGUGGCACGUGUAUACAUAUGUAACAAACCUGCAUGUUGUGCACAUGUACCCUAAAACUUAAAGUAUAAUAAAAAAAAAAGAAAG